AUUGAACGCUGGCGGCAUGCCUUACACAUGCAAGUCGAACGGCAGCACGGGUGCUUGCACCUGGUGGCGAGUGGCGAACGGGUGAGUAAUACAUCGGAACAUGUCCUGUAGUGGGGGAUAGCCCGGCGAAAGCCGGAUUAAUACCGCAUACGAUCUACGGAUGAAAGCGGGGGCCCUUCGGGCCUCGCGCUAUAGGGUUGGCCGAUGGCUGAUUAGCUAGUUGGUGGGGUAAAGGCCUACCAAGGCGACGAUCAGUAGCUGGUCUGAGAGGACGACCAGCCACACUGGGACUGAGACACGGCCCAGACUCCUACGGGAGGCAGCAGUGGGGAAUUUUGGACAAAGGGCGAAAGCCUGAUCCAGCAAUGCCGCGUGUGUGAAGAAGGCCUUCGGGUUGUAAAGCACUUUUGUCCGGAAAGAAAUCCUUGGCCCUAAUACGGUCGGGGGAUGACGGUACCGGAAGAAUAAGCACCGGCUAACUACGUG
rnacentral:rRNA from 1 species